CCCUUAGAUGUCCUGGGCCGCACGCGCGUUACACUGAUGCAUUCAACGAGCUUAUAACCUUGGCCGAGAGGCCUGGGCAAUCUUGUUAACGUGCAUCGUGAUAGGGAUAGAUUAUUGAAAUUUUUAAUCUUGAACGAGGAAUUCCUAGUAAACGCAGAUCAUCAAUCUGCAUUGAUUACGUCCCUGCCCUUUGUACACACCGCCCGUCGCACCUACCGAUUGGAUGGUCCGGUGAAGCCUCGGGAUUGUGGUUCUUGCCGCUUUAUUGUGGCGUGACCGCGAGAACUUGUCUAAACCUUAUCAUCUAGAGGAAGGUGAAGUCGUAACA
rnacentral:rRNA from 1 species